rnacentral:rRNA from 1 species
CGGUGGUGGAUUAGUGGCGAACGGGUGAGUAACACGUGGGCAAUCUGCCCUGCACUCUGGGACAAGCCCUGGAAACGGGGUCUAAUACCGGAUAUGACCACCGGCCGCAUGGUCUGGUGGUGGAAAGCUCCGGCGGUGCAGGAUGAGCCCGCGGCCUAUCAGCUUGUUGGUGGGGUGAUGGCCUACCAAGGCGACGACGGGUAGCCGGCCUGAGAGGGCGACCGGCCACACUGGGACUGAGACACGGCCCAGACUCCUACGGGAGGCAGCAGUGGGGAAUAUUGCACAAUGGGCGCAAGCCUGAUGCAGCGACGCCGCGUGAGGGAUGACGGCCUUCGGGUUGUAAACCUCUUUCAGCAGGGAAGAAGCGCAAGUGACGGUACCUGCAGAAGAAGCACCGGCUAACUACGUGCCAGCAGCCGCGGUAAUACGUAGGGUGCGAGCGUUGUCCGGAAUUAUUGGGCGUAAAGAGCUCGUAGGCGGCCUGUCGCGUCGGAUGUGAAAGCCCGGGGCUUAACCCCGGGUCUGCAUUCGAUACGGGCAGGCUAGAGUUCGGUAGGGGAGAUCGGAAUUCCUGGUGUAGCGGUGAAAUGCGCAGAUAUCAGGAGGAACACCGGUGGCGAAGGCGGAUCUCUGGGCCGAUACUGACGCUGAGGAGCGAAAGCGUGGGGAGCGAACAGGAUUAGAUACCCUGGGUAGUCCACGCCGUAAAC